rnacentral:lncRNA from 1 species
AUAGUUUGUAGAAUCACCUUUCACAAAUAAGCUGUGCACCACUGCUACCGGAACGUUAUCUGGUUUAGGUAAAGCUGCAUUAACCAUACAUAUCCAUCAAUAUAUAUGUUCAGUAUAUCUAUAUACAUAUCUAGAUAUGUGUGUCUGUGUAUAUUACUUUGAGACAACUUUAUAAGUUCUUCCUCUGGAAGGAAAGCCCUUUUGAAAGUUCGUCCAGUCUUCCUCUCCCAGGCAGAAAUUAGAUCAAGUUGAGAUAUAAUGUUUUUUGGUGGCUUGCAGAUUAUUAUACGAUUAGCUACCCUUGGAUCUGUGGCUGCUUUCACGGUGUAGAAUGCUAUAUCUUCUUCAUAGUUCAUCACAGCUGGCAACCACCUCGCAACAAUUAUAUACAAUUAUUACAAAUUUAUACAUUAGAUGUAUGUAUUCGAAAGAGAGUUGUCAUAUCUUCUGUAUCGUUACUGUGGAACUUGAAAAACUUUGUAUAACAUGUG